UACGGGGGGAGCAAGCGUUGUUCGGAUUUACUGGGCGUAAAGGGCGCGUAGGCGGUCAGCACAAGUCAGUCGUGAAAUCUCCGGGCUUAACUCGGAAAGGUCAACUGAUACUGUGCGACUAGAGUGCGGAAGGGGCAACUGGAAUUCCCGGUGUAGGGGUGAAAUCCGUAGAUAUCGGGAGGAACACCAGUAGCGAAGGCGACACUCUGGGCCGGUACUGACGCUGAGGAGCGAAAGCGUGGGGAGCAAACAGG
rnacentral:rRNA from 1 species